UUUAUUAAGAGUUUGAUCCUAGCUCAGGAUGAACGCUGGCGGCGUGUUUAAGGCAUGCAAGUCGAACGAAGUACUCUCGCAAGAGAAUUACUAGUGGCAAACGGGUGAGUAACACAUUGGUAACCUACCUUCAAGACGGGGAUAGCUCGCCGAAAGGCGAAUUAAUACUCGAUGGUAAUACGGGGACGUAAGUUCUUGUAUUUAAAGAUUUAUCGCUUGAAGAGGGGCCUAUGUCUGAUUAGCUAGUUGGCGGAGUAAAAGCCCACCAAGGCUAUGAUCAGUAGCAGGCGUGAGAGCGUGACCUGCCUCACUGGGACUGAGACACUGCCCAGACAUCUACGGAUGGCUGCAGUCAAGAAUAUUCCUCAAUGGACGAAAGUCUGAAGGAGCGACGCCGCGUGUAGGAUGAAGGUCUUCGGAUCGUAAACUACUUUUAUGUGGGAAGAAUUUGUGACGGUACCACACGAAUAAGAGGUUGCUAACUCUGUGCCAGCAGCAGCGGUAAUACAGAGACCUCAAGCGUUAUCCGGAAUUAUUGGGCGUAAAGCGUCCGCAGGUGGUUUGGUAAGUCAGAAGUCAAAACUUCGCGCUCAACGCGAAGGUUGCUUUUGAAACUGCCAUUCUAGAGUAUGGGAGAGGUAAGCAGAAUUCUCGGUGUAGUCGUAAUAAGCGUUGAUAUCGAGAAGAAUACCAAAUGCGAAGGCAGCUUACUGGAACAUUACUGACACUCAUGGACGAAAGCGUGGGGAGCAAACAGGAUUAGAUACCCUGGUAGUCCACGCCCUAAACGAUGUGCACUAGGUAUUGGCAGUAUCGACCCUGUCAGUGCCGUUUAAAAAAGCUAACGCGUUAAGUGCACCGCCUGGGGAGUACGAUCGCAAGAUUAAAACUCAAAGGAAUAGACGGGGACCCGCACAAGCGGUGGAUUAUGUGGUUUAAUUCGAUAAUAAACGGGGAACCUUACCUGGGCUCAACUACUAGCUGCAUAUGACCGGAAACGGACAUAGCCUUCGAGGGUGCUAGAUAGGUGCUGCAUGGUUGCCGUCAGCUCGUGCCGUGAGGUGUACCAUUAAGUUGGGAAACGAGCGCAACCCACGCCUUGUGUUAAAUGUACACAAGGGACCGCCCCGCACUGUAAACAGAAAGAAAUUUGUGUUUAGAGUGCGGGGAGGAAGGAGUGGACGACGUCAGAUCAGCAUGGCUCUUACGUCCAGGGCUACACACAUAAUACAAUGGCCGGUACAACGGGUUGCGAAAUCGCGAGAUGGAGCUAAUCCUUCAAAACCGGCCCCAGUUCAGAUUGCAGGCUGCAACUCGCCUGCAUGAAGUCGGAAUCGCUAGUAAACGCAGAUCAGCCACGCUGCGUUGAAUACGUUCUCGGGUCUUGUACUCACCGCCCGUCACACCACGGGAGUUGGCAAUGCUCGUAGGCCUCGCAAGAGGACGAAGGCAGGGUCAAUGACUAGGGUGAAGUCGUAACAAGGCAUCCCUAGCGGAAGCUGGGGAUGGAUCACCUCCUUU
rnacentral:rRNA from 1 species